rnacentral:rRNA from 1 species
UACGAAGGGUGCAAGCGUUACUCGGAAUUACUGGGCGUAAAGCGUGCGUAGGUGGUGAGUUAAGUCUGAUGUGAAAUCCCCGGGCUCAACCUGGGAAUGGCAUUGGAUACUGGCUCGCUAGAGUGCGGUAGAGGGUGGUGGAAUUCCCGGUGUAGCAGUGAAAUGCGUAGAGAUCGGGAGGAACAUCUGUGGCGAAGGCGGCCACCUGGACCAACACUGACACUGAGGCACGAAAGCGUUGGGAGCAAACAGG